GACGAACGCUGGCGGCGCGCUUAACACAUGCAAGUCGAACGGAAAGGCCUGCUUUCCCUUGUGGAUUGCGGGUACUCGAGUGGCGAACGGGUGAGUAACACGUGAGUGAUCUGCCCCCAACUUGGGUAUAAGCCUGGGAAACUGGGUCUAAUUCCCGAUAGGACUGCAGGGUGGUGCCUGUGGUGGAAAACGAUUUUCUAGUGGUUGGGGAUGAGCUCGCGGCCUAUCAGCUUGUUGGUGGGGUAAUGGCCUACCAAGGCGGCGACGGGUAGCCGGCCUGAGAGGGUGGACGGCCACAUUGGGACUGAGAUACGGCCCAGACUCCUACGGGAGGCAGCAGUGGGGAAUAUUGCACAAUGGGCGGAAGCCUGAUGCAGCGACGCCGCGUGGGGAUGACGGCCUUCGGGUUGUAAACUCCUUUCGACCGCGAGGAAGCCACCUGGUUGGAAGGGUGGUGACGGUAGUGGUAGAAGAAGCACCGGCUAACUACGUG
rnacentral:rRNA from 1 species